rnacentral:rRNA from 1 species
UACGUAGGGUGCGAGCGUUGUCCGGAAUUAUUGGGCGUAAAGGGCUCGUAGGCGGUUUGUCGCGUCGGGAGUGAAAACCCAGGGCUUAACUCUGGGCUUGCUUUCGAUACGGGCAGACUAGAGGUAUGCAGGGGAGAACGGAAUUCCUGGUGUAGCGGUGAAAUGCGCAGAUAUCAGGAGGAACACCGGUGGCGAAGGCGGUUCUCUGGGCAUUACCUGACGCUGAGGAGCGAAAGCAUGGGGAGCGAACAGG